GACGAACGCUGGCGGCGUGCUUAACACAUGCAAGUCGAACGGUGAAGCGCCUUCCUUUUUGGUGGGUGUGGAUGAGUGGCGAACGGGUGAGUAACACGUGAGUAACCUGCCCCCUUCUUCUGGAUAACCGCAUGAAAGUGUGGCUAAUACGGGAUAUUCUGGGUCUGUCGCAUGAUGGGUCUGGGAAAGAUAUUGUUUCGGUGGGGAUGGGCUCGCGGCCUAUCAGCUUGUUGGCGGGGUGAUGGCCUACCAAGGCGGUGACGGGUAGCCGGCCUGAGAGGGUGGACGGUCACACUGGGACUGAGACACGGCCCAGACUCCUACGGGAGGCAGCAGUGGGGAAUAUUGCACAAUGGGCGCAAGCCUGAUGCAGCGACGCCGCGUGAGGGAUGGAGGCCUUCGGGUUGUGAACCUCUUUCGCCAGUGAAGCAGGCCUGCCUCGUUUGUGGGUGGGUUGACGGUAGCUGGAUAAGAAGCGCCGGCUAACUACGUG
rnacentral:rRNA from 1 species